CAAACUGGAGAUGGCGACCGGCGCACGGGUGAGUAACACGUAUCCAACCUGCCGAUAACUCGGGGAUAGCCUUUCGAAAGAAAGAUUAAUACCCGAUGGCAUAAUAGAACCGCAUGGUUUGAUUAUUAAAGAAUUUCGGUUAUCGAUGGGGAUGCGUUCCAUUAGGCAGUUGGUGGGGUAACGGCCCACCAAACCUACGAUGGAUAGGGGUUCUGAGAGGAAGGUCCCCCACAUUGGAACUGAGACACGGUCCAAACUCCUACGGGAGGCAGCAUG
rnacentral:rRNA from 1 species